rnacentral:rRNA from 1 species
UACGAAGGGGGCUAGCGUUGUUCGGAAUUAUUGGGCGUAAAGAGCUCGUAGGCGGUUCGUCGCGUCGGCUGUGAAAUCCCGAGGCUCAACCUCGGGUCUGCAGUCGAUACGGGCGGACUGGAGUUCGGCAGGGGAGACUGGAAUUCCUGGUGUAGCGGUGAAAUGCGCAGAUAUCAGGAGGAACACCGGUGGCGAAGGCGGGUCUCUGGGCCGAUACUGACGCUGAGGAGCGAAAGCGUGGGGAGCGAACAGG